CUCCAUACCGGGCAAGCAGCUAGUACACAGAGAGCUGACCCGCUUCAAGGCCCUCUGCGCCGCUGAGAUGCACCUACCAAGGGGCGUCUCUACGUUGUACGCUAUGCUACUGGAAGCCACUCGGAGCCGCCUGCGACAUACCAAUCUAAAUGGGAACAAGCCACGGGAACCACCCUGUCGAACUCAGAAUGGGAGAAGAUUCACACUCUUGCGCAUCAAGGUACGAC